UUUAACUGAUUAGGAUUAAUAUUUCCUAAUUAAUAUUGCUAGUUUAGCAAUUAAUUCCAUAACUGUACAUUAGGGUUCCUAACAGAACAAUUAGGGUUCAAAAAUUCUGAAAUUAGGGUUUGCUAAUUAAUUAAGCUUUACCCUAAUUAAUAUUAUAAUUAAUAGCACUUAAGCAUUAUACUUAUCCGAUAAUUUCUCGGAUUGGGGUUUUCAAAUAUCGAAUUAGGGUUUCGAAUUCCCGGAACUGAAAUUAGGGUUUCCAGAACCGAUUUCUAGGGUUUCUUAUAAAACGUAAUAAUUUUAUAACUGAACGUGGACGUUCUUAAUAUAUACUAUUAGGGUUUGACACAUAUAUAAUUUAUCUGGUCAACACUUGACCCUUAACCACAUUCUGUACACAUGAUACCGUAAUCUUGAACAUAUACACAUAUACCCUUAAUCCUGAAUAAUUCACUAAAAGAAAUUUUAAAUGCUCAAAAUUCAUUUCUGAAAACAUCAAAC
rnacentral:lncRNA from 1 species